rnacentral:rRNA from 1 species
GAUGAACGCUGGCGGCGUGCUUAACACAUGCAAGUCGAACGGUGAACCUCUUCGGAGGGGAUCAGUGGCGAACGGGUGAGUAACACGUGGGCAACCUGCCCCCGGCUCUGGGAUAACUCCAAGAAAUUGGGGCUAAUACCGGAUGUUCACCGCUUCCCGCAUGGGUGGUGGUGGAAAGGGUUUCCGGCUGGGGAUGGGCCCGCGGGCUAUCAGCUUGUUGGUGGGGUAGUGGCCUACCAAGGCGACGACGGGUAGCCGGCCUGGGAGGGGGACCGGCCACACGGGGACUGCGACACGGCCCAGACGCCUACGGGAGGCAGCAGUGGGGAAUAUUGCGCAAUGGGCGGAAGCCUGACACAGCGACGCCGCGUGGGGGAUGACGUCCUUCGGGUUGUAAACCUCUUUCAGCAGGGACGAAGCGCAAGUGACGGUACCUGCAGAAGAAGCACCGGCCAACUACGUG